rnacentral:sRNA from 1 species
CCCUGUUCUUCGCGGGGACCGUGAGAACCUUCGACCCAGUUUCGCGUCGAUCAGCGCGAGACAACGAUGCGCAGCAUCGGCCCGAAGGGUGAGGCGCAACGCGCCGAAUCAUCCUUCCCGCACCAGCC